rnacentral:lncRNA from 1 species
CUACAGGGACAGAAUGUCCUGGUUAACAAUGUCGGCGAUGUGAAGAUCUGUGAGUACUGACUUAUAGAAACAAAUUUUUCCACCACUUCCUGUGUAGCGCAAGGAAGCAGCGCUGAGGGUGUUUAGAAUAUGUGGAUGAAGAAAAAUUGUGAAUGUGAUUGUUUAAACAUCUCUUCCUCCAGGCGAUCUGGGUCUGGCGGCAAGAUUGUCAGACCAUGGUGCCCUGUUCAAUAAAGCAGGAACUUCCAAAUGGAUGGCCCCCGAAGUCGUCAGGGGCAAAAACAAAAUGCCCUACAAUGAGAAAUGCGACAUUUGGUCGCUGGGGAUAACGGCCAUUGAAGUCGCUCAAGCCGAACACCCCCCCGACUUCAUGAACCCUCGCCGGAUUGCUUCCUUCAUCUCACGCCUGAAGGAGGAGAGAAAUUGGUGAAUGAUUUUCUUCAUUACACACACACACACACACACACACGCACACACCACUGGAGGACUGUAAUUAACCAUACAGUUCUCUUCUCAGGUCUAGGAAAUUUGAGGACUUCAUCUGUCAGGUUCUUAAUGUUGAUCCUAGAAAGCGACC